UUCUUAGUAGCUCAGUGGUAGAGCAGUCGGCUGUUAACCGAAUGGUCAUAAGUUCAAAUCUUAUCUAAGAAG
rnacentral:tRNA from 1 species